CAAAAGUUUACAAUACUUUCUAUGUUUCUAGCAGCAAAACUAAUGCUAACAAGAAUCCUAGUAGGAAUCCUCAUCAGAGAAAGAGAUGAGGACAAGGGAAGUGCUUAGACAGUCAAAACAACCAUAUAUUAAGACAUCCAUUCACCAAGAGAAGCUGGAAUAGAAAAUGCUGUAUAUUCUGGAGUAGAACCUCUCAGCAACUACUUUAUGUUGCUAUUUGUGGACUCCGGCCAAAAAGUUGCUACCUCCUGGAUGACUAGAGUGGCAGAAGCAUUUUUUAAUGACACAGAUUGAGUGCUGAGUCUUCUCUGCCACUUCCUUCCCUGUUGCCACAAAAAGGAUAAAAUUGUCCAGAUCACAGUGCCAGCACCAGAGCUUUAUUUUGGUCUAUGAGAAAACUUUGUAAAGAGAUUAUUUACUGUCACAUGGCUGUCUCAAGAGGAGGAAAUGUACAUGCCAGCACUUAGUGGUAAUCCAGGAAGGACUGUAUUUUGUAAGGCCUCAUGACUGCUAGAAAAUCUAGAAAUGCAAGAAGGCAAACAGUGAACCAGAGGCAAAAGGAAGAAAUCAAAGUCAACAAUUAAAUUGUUUUUGUCUAAAAAUAGUGUAUGGAGCUCCUAAUCACUAGCCCUUUGUUGAGAAGUCCUGCUGGGUAGUCAGUGGCUAUGGCAUUCUGUAGCUGAAGCUCCAGAAUAUACUUUUUGUACAGUAAUUUGCAGGAACCUACACUGAAAAUGGCAAAGGCCUAGGCUAUGGUGACAAAGUCUGCAUCUAAAGAGAAGACAAAAUGCUGAGGGAAUAAUAGUGCUUCUACAAUUUGCUUUAACUGGGGUGUCUGGAACAAGCAGAGGGUAUAGCAAAACACUCUGAACAGAAUAAGUAGCGUAACAAACUCUUGAAUUCUUCUGCAAGUAUGGAAGAUGGUAGGAGAGAUGAAAUAAUGUUUCUGAAUGUUUCCUCCAGCCAGUCAGAAUGACUUCCACAUUUUCUAAGCUGACUCUGCGACAGCUUGUCAGUCUUCAUUUUGUCUCUAUUGAUUUGUCAUCCCAGUGAAGCACUGAAGAGCCCAAUGAGUCAAGGCCUGCUCCUAGCAGUAACUUGACCAAAUUGUCCACUGCUUUAAGACCAAAGACAUUUUUCAGACUUUUUCAAAGCAGCACCAAACAGCUCAGCUUGGGAUACCUGUGUCACAGGAAAAACAUUGAAAUGUGAAGUUCUG
ensembl:lncRNA